UACGAAGGGGGCUAGCGUUGCUCGGAAUCACUGGGCGUAAAGGGUGCGUAGGCGGGUCUUUAAGUCAGGGGUGAAAUCCUGGAAGCUCAACUCCAGAACUGCCUUUGAUACUGAAGAUCUUGAGUGCGGGAGAGGUGAGUGGAACUGCGAGUGUAGAGGUGAAAUUUGUAGAUAUUCGCAAGAACACCAGUGGCGAAGGCGGCU
rnacentral:rRNA from 1 species